ACCCUGCUGUGUGCGUGUGGUAAUCGAUGUUUUGAACCAACACUUCUACUUUGGGAGCCUGGGCUCCGGACGUGGAAAGUCAUGCCCCUGUUCGAGGGACGGCUAACCUGUUCGGGAGGGCACCCACCUGCUGUCUUGCAGGAUCAAAACUCGGUUACAACGGCUCAGUGGGGCCU
rnacentral:other from 1 species